AAAUGAAAUGUUUUCCAAAGGAAAACAUGAAAUAUUGGCCUUCGGCCAAUGUGAAAUAUCCCGCUGAUGCGGGAUGUGAAAUAUUCG
rnacentral:sRNA from 1 species